rnacentral:tRNA from 1 species
AUAUGUAGACUAACCUCUUCCUUUGUAU